UAGAGUUUGAUCCUGGCUCAGAUUGAACGCUGGCGGCAUGCCUUACACAUGCAAGUCGAACGGUAACAGGUCUUCGGACGCUGACGAGUGGCGAACGGGUGAGUAAUACAUCGGAACGUGCCCAGUCGUGGGGGAUAACUACUCGAAAGAGUAGCUAAUACCGCAUACGAUCUGAGGAUGAAAGCGGGGGACCUUCGGGCCUCGCGCGAUUGGAGCGGCCGAUGGCAGAUUAGGUAGUUGGUGGGAUAAAAGCUUACCAAGCCGACGAUCUGUAGCUGGUCUGAGAGGACGACCAGCCACACUGGGACUGAGACACGGCCCAGACUCCUACGGGAGGCAGCAGUGGGGAAUUUUGGACAAUGGGCGAAAGCCUGAUCCAGCAAUGCCGCGUGCAGGAUGAAGGCCUUCGGGUUGUAAACUGCUUUUGUACGGAACGAAAAAGCUCCUUCUAAUACAGGGGGCCCAUGACGGUACCGUAAGAAUAAGCACCGGCUAACUACGUGCCAGCAGCCGCGGUAAUACGUAGGGUGCGAGCGUUAAUCGGAAUUACUGGGCGUAAAGCGUGCGCAGGCGGUUAUGUAAGACAGAUGUGAAAUCCCCGGGCUCAACCUGGGAACUGCAUUUGUGACUGCAUGGCUAGAGUAC
rnacentral:rRNA from 1 species